GGAGUCGGCCAGACAGUCGCGUCACUCGCAAGGGUGCCGAGGAAAGUCCGGGCUCCAUAGGGCAAGGUGCCAGGUAACGCCUGGGCGGCGCAAGCCGACGGACAGUGCAACAGAAAGAUACCGCCUACGUUCCUUUCGGGGAGCCGGUAAGGGUGAAAUGGUGCGGUAAGAGCGCACCGCGAGUCCGGUAACGGACCGGCACGGCAAACCCCACCUGGAGCAAGACCAAAUAGGGAUCCAUUGGCGUGGCCCGCGCUGGAUCCGGGUAGGUUGCUUGAGCGCUGCGGUGACGUAGCGCCUAGACGAAUGACUGUCCACGACAGAACCCGGCUUAUCGGCCGGCUCCGCCG
rnacentral:RNase_P_RNA from 2 species